GUUGAGAGGAAUAUUGUCUGGCUCGAGGUCGUCGAAUAGUAUAUUGAUGAAAUUAUUCGGUGGUUAAAGUUUUCAAAUGGGUGGUUGAUGGAAAUUCAUUCUCUCUAACCUUAAAUGAUUCUCGGACCAGGCUUUAUUCCUUCCAGC